UACGUAGGGUGCGAGCGUUAAUCGGAAUUACUGGGCGUAAAGCGUGCGCAGGCGGUUCGUUGUGUCGGUGGUGAAAUCCUGGAGCUCAACUCCAGAACUGCCUUUGAUACUGAGGAUCUUGAGUUCGGGAGAGGAAAGCGGAAUUCCGGGUGUAGCGGUGAAAUGCGUAGAUAUCCGGAGGAACACCGGUGGCGAAGGCGGCUUCCUGGACCGAUACUGACGCUGAGGCGCGAAAGCUAGGGGAGCAAACGGG
rnacentral:rRNA from 1 species